rnacentral:rRNA from 1 species
GAUGAACGCUGGCGGCGUGCCUAAUACAUGCAAGUCGAGCGAACAGACGAGGAGCUUGCUCCUCUGACGUUAGCGGCGGACGGGUGAGUAACACGUGGAUAACCUACCUAUAAGACUGGGAUAACUUCGGGAAACCGGAGCUAAUACCGGAUAAUAUAUUGAACCGCAUGGUUCAAUAGUGAAAGACGGUUUUGCUGUCACUUAUAGAUGGUUCCGCGCCGCAUUGGCUAGUUGGUAAGGUAACGGCUUACCAAGGCGACGAUGCGUAGCCGACCUGUGAGGGUGGUAGGCCACAUUGGAGCUGAGACACGGUCCAGACUCCUGCGGGAGGCAGCAGUAGGGAAUCUGCCGCAAUGGGCGGAAGCCUGACGGAGCAACGCGACGUGAGUGAUAAAGGUCUUCUGAUCGUAAAACUCUGUUAUUAGGGAAGAACAAAUGUGUAAGUAACUAUGCACGUCUUGACGGUACCUAAUCAGAAAGCCACGGCUAACUACGUG